UUUAAUAAGCCAUGACCACAAAUGACAUGAUGUUUACAUUGACAAUACGUGUCAAGUUUGUCGAGUCAUUACCCAUGAUUACGAGUGUUGGUACGCAUAAGUAAAUCGGAUUUUAAAAUGUUUAUAUAGAAAUAAAGCCAACUGAUCAAACGGAUCUGACAAAUAAAACUUUCAGUCAGAUCUCCGAUGGAGGAGGCGGAUGGUGGCUUCUGGCGGACCGGAAGUGUGCAAGAAGGUGCACGCUGCGAGAAUUUGGCGAGCUACUCGGGGUUUUCGGACAUGGAUACCCUCAUGAACAGCGACCCAAUGUGUGUGCUCUUCUACAAACACUACGGACAGUGGCGCGAGGUGCGGCAGACGGGGGCCAUCAGAAAUACGCUUAACCUAAAGUCAGAUCUCCGAUGGAGGAGGCGGAUGGUGGCUUCUGGCGGACCGGAAGUGUGCAAGAAGGUGCACGCUGCGAGAAUUUGGCGAGCUACUCGGGGUUUUCGGACAUGGAUACCCUCAUGAACAGCGACCCAAUGUGUGUGCUCUUCUACAAACACUACGGACAGUGGCGCGAGGUGCGGCAGACGGGGGCCAUCAGAAAUACGCUUAACCUAAAGUCAGAUCUCCGAUGGAGGAGGCGGAUGGUGGCUUCUGGCGGACCGGAAGUGUGCAAGAAGGUGCACGCUGCGAGAAUUUGGCGAGCUACUCGGGGUUUUCGGACAUGGAUACCCUCAUGAACAGCGACCCAAUGUGUGUGCUCUUCUACAAACACUACGGACAGUGGCGCGAGGUGCGGCAGACGGGGGCCAUCAGAAAUACGCUUAACCUAAAGGUAGCGCGGGAGGUCGCGGGCUUAUCAGCAUAACGGCCAGCCAAGCAAGUGUGAAUGCCGUGACAAGUUGUCGCUCCAUGUCGAUGCAUACAAACUCAAUAACCUGACGUGUACCUUGAGAUACCCCACAGUAUCGGCAAUGUGACGUUCCAUCCCAUCUACCGCACGGAGACGAACAAGAAGACACAACAUCGCAGUGGAACUGGUGAUUAUAAAAUACCGGGCCGAUGUGAAUCAAUGCUCCUAAACAAAGCAUCGAAGCAACGGACCACAGUCAACAGCUCCAUGAUUUACUUUACGAAAAUUAUGUGUGUUUGUGUGAAGGCUGAUAACUGCAUAGAAACUAAUUCAACGGAAACACUCACGCAUCGUCUUAACCAUUUAGCCGCUCUGAUCAAAGGCAUUGACGUCAAUAUACACGCCGGGAUGCAUUUAAGUACAGUUAAAUUCGCCGGAAAACCGUAAAAAACCUGGAUUAAGUUUAAGUGAUUAGUGUGUUUAUUUGCUGAAUAUCUUUAUAGUGUUCUUGGAGUUUUCAUAUUCUGGAUUUAAGUGUUUUCAUGGAUUAAAGUUUGAGUAUUCAGAUUGUGUAUUUGCUGAUAUAUCUAUAGUGGUUGUGAUGUUUUCGAAUUCUGGAUUAUUAAAGUGCUCACUGAAGUCCUUUGCUUGUGACAAUGCCUUUUGUGGUCGGUGAAAUAGCUUGGACAAUG